rnacentral:rRNA from 1 species
CUAAAUACUCUCUAGUGACCGAUAGUGAACCAGUACCGUGAGGGAAAGGUGAAAAGCACCCCGGGAGGGGAGUGAAAUAGAACCUGAAACCGUGUGCCUACAACAAGUUCGAGCCCGUUAAUGGGUGAGAGCGUGCCUUUUGUAGAAUGAACCGGCGAGUUACGAUAUGAUGCGAGGUUAAGUUGAAGAGACGGAGCCGUAGGGAAACCGAGUCUUAAUAGGGCGCAUUAGUAUCAUGUCGUAGACCCGAAACCAUGUGACCUACCCAUGAGCAGGUUGAAGGUGAGGUAAAACUCACUGGAGGACCGAACCAGGGCACGUUGAAAAGUGCUUGGAUGACUUGUGGGUAGCGGAGAAAUUCCAAACGAACUUGGAGAUAGCUGGUUCUCUCCGAAAUAGCUUUAGGGCUAGCGUCGAUGUUAAGUCUCUUGGAGGUAGAGCACUGUUUGGGUGAGGGGUCCAUCCCGGAUUACCAAUCUCAGAUAAACUCCGAAUGCCAACGAGAUAUAAUCGGCAGUCAGACUGCGAGUGCUAAGAUCCGUAGUCGAAAGGGAAACAGCCCAGACCACCAGCUAAGGUCCCAAAAUAUAUGUUAAGUGGAAAAGGAUGUGGGGUUGCACAGACAACUAGGAUGUUAGCUUAGAAGCAGCUAUUCAUUCAAAGAGUGCGUAAUAGCUCACUAGUCGAGUGACCCUGCGCCGAAAAUGUACCGGGGCUAAAACAUAUUACCGAAGCUGUGGAUACCUUUAUAGGUAUGGUAGGAGAGCGUUCUAUGUGCGAAGAAGGUGUACCGUGAGGAGUGCUGGAGCGCAUAGAAGUGAGAAUGCCGGUAUGAGUAGCGAAAGACAGGUGAGAAUCCUGUCCACCGUAAGACUAAGGUUUCCAGGGGAAGGCUCGUCCGCCCUGGGUUAGUCGGGACCUAAGGAGAGACCGAAAGGUGUAUCCGAUGGACAACAGGUUGAUAUUCCUGUACUAGAGUAUAUAGUGAUGGAGGGACGCAGUAGGCUAACUAAACCAGACGAUUGGAAGUGUCUGGCCAAGCAGUGAGGUGUGAUAUGAGUCAAAUGCUUAUAUCUAUAACAUUGAGCUGUGAUGGGUAGCGAAGUUUAGUAGCGAAGUUAGUGAUGUCACACUGCCAAGAAAAGCUUCUAGCGUUAAUUAUACUCUACCCGUACCGCAAACCGACACAGGUAGUCGAGGCGAGUAGCCUCAGGUGAGCGAGAGAACUCUCGUUAAGGAACUCGGCAAAAUGGCCCCGUAACUUCGGGAGAAGGGGCGCUGACUUAUGGUCAGCCGCAGUGAAUAGGCCCAAGCAACUGUUUAUCAAAAACACAGCUCUCUGCUAAAUCGUAAGAUGAUGUAUAGGGGGUGACGCCUGCCCGGUGCUGGAAGGUUAAGAGGAGUGCUUAGCGUAAGCGAAGGUAUGAAUUGAAGCCCCAGUAAACGGCGGCCGUAACUAUAACGGUCCUAAGGUAGCGAAAUUCCUUGUCGGGUAAGUUCCGACCCGCACGAAAGGCGUAACGAUUUGGGCACUGUCUCAACGAGAGACUCGGUGAAAUUUUAGUACCUGUGAAGAUGCAGGUUACCCGCGACAGGACGGAAAGACCCCAUGGAGCUUUACUGCAGUUUGAUAUUGAGUAUCUGUACCACAUGUACAGGAUAGGUAGGAGCCUAUGACCUCGGGACGCCAGUUUCGAGUGAGGCGUUGUUGGGAUACUACCCUUGUGUUAUGGCUACUCUAACCCAGAUAGGUUAUCCCUAUCGGAGACAGUGUCUGACGGGCAGUUUGACUGGGGCGGUCGCCUCCUAAAAGGUAACGGAGGCGCCCAAAGGUUCCCUCAGAAUGGUUGGAAAUCAUUCGCAGAGUGUAAAGGUAUAAGGGAGCUUGACUGCGAGAGCUACAACUCGAGCAGGGACGAAAGUCGGGCUUAGUGAUCCGGUGGUUCCGCAUGGAAGGGCCAUCGCUCAACGGAUAAAAGCUACCCCGGGGAUAACAGGCUUAUCUCCCCCAAGAGUUCACAUCGACGGGGAGGUUUGGCACCUCGAUGUCGGCUCAUCGCAUCCUGGGGCUGUAGUCGGUCCCAAGGGUUGGGCUGUUCGCCCAUUAAAGCGGCACGCGAGCUGGGUUCAGAACGUCGUGAGACAGUUCGGUCCCUAUCCGUCGCGGGCGUAGGAAAUUUGAGAGGAUCUGCUCCUAGUACGAGAGGACCAGAGUGGACUUACCGCUGGUGUACCAGUUGUUCUGCCAAGAGCAUCGCUGGGUAGCUAUGUAGGGAAGGGAUAAACGCUGAAAGCAUCUAAGUGUGAAGCCCACCUCAAGAUGAGAUUUCCCAUGAUUUU